AAUAGAUACCCCGGUAGUCCACGCCGUAAACGAUGGAUGCUAGCUGUUAGGAGUAUCGACCCUCCUAAUAGCGUAGCUAACGCGUUAAGCAUCCCGCCUGUGGAGUACGGUCGCGAGACUAAAACAUAAAGGAAUUGACGGGGACCCGCACAAGCGGUGGAGCGUGUUGUUUAAUUCGAUGGUAAGCGAAGAACCUUACCCAGGCUUGACAUCCUGCUAAUCACUCCGAAAGGAGAGAGUGCCUUCGGGCCGCAGUGACAGGUGUUGCAUGGCCGUCGUCAGCUCGUGUCGUGAGAUGUUUGGUUAAGUCCAUCAACGAGCGCAACCCUUAUAGUUAGUUGUAUUUCUCUAGCUAGACUGCCCUGGCAACAGGGAGGAAGGAGGGGAUGAUGGUCAGGUCAGUAUUACCCUUACGCCUGGGGCUACAAACACGCUACAAUGGCCGGUACAAAGGGCAGCCAACCCGCGAGGGGGAGCAAAUCCCAUCAAAGCCGGUCUCAGUUCGGAUUGCAGGCUGAAACUCGCCUGCA
rnacentral:rRNA from 1 species